CGAGUCGCAAGCUCGCGAGAGUAAGCUAAUCUCUUAAAGCCGUUCUCAGUUCGGACUGUAGGCUGCAACUCGCCUACACGAAGUCGGAAUCGCUAGUAAUCGCGGAUCAGCAUGCCGCGGUGAAUACGUUCCCGGGCCUUGUACACACCGCCCGUCACACCAUGGGAGGUUUGUAACGCCCAAAGUCGGUGGCCUAACCUUUAUGGAGGGAGCCGCCUAAGGCGGGACAGAUGACUGGGGUGAAGUCGUAACAAGGUAAC
rnacentral:rRNA from 1 species